rnacentral:rRNA from 1 species
GACGUAGGGCGCGAGCGUUGUCCGGAUUUAUUGGGCGUAAAGAGCUCGUAGGCGGCUUGUCGCGUCGACUGUGAAAUCCCGCGGCUCAACUGCGGGUCUGCAGUCGAUACGGGCAGGCUAGAGUUCGGUAGGGGAGACUGGAAUUCCUGGUGUAGCGGUGGAAUGCGCAGAUAUCAGGAGGAACACCGGUGGCGAAGGCGGGUCUCUGGGCAGUAACUGACGCUGAGGAGCGAAAGCGUGGGGAGCGAACAGG